rnacentral:rRNA from 1 species
UACGUAGGGGGCCAGCGUUGUCCGGAAUCAUUGGGCGUAAAGCGCGCGUAGGUGGCCUCAUAAGUCCGCUGUGAAAGUCAAAGGCUCAACCUUUGAAAGCCGGUGGAUACUGUGAGGCUAGAGUACGGAAGAGGCGAGUGGAAUUCCUGGUGUAGCGGUGGAAUGCGCAGAUAUCGGGAGGAACACCUAUGGCGAAGGCAGCUCGCUGGGACGUUACUGACGCUGAGACGCGAAAGCGUGGGGAGCAAACAGG